AUUGAACGCUGGCGGCAGGCCUAACACAUGCAAGUCGAGCGAGCGGCGGACGGGUGAGUAAUGUAUGGGGACUGCCCGAUAGAGGGGGAUAACUACUGGAAACGGUGGCUAAUACCGCAUACUGUCGGAUAACCCAUAUGGGAUUAGCUAGUAGGUAAGGUAAUGGGUUACCUAGGCGACGAUCCCUAGCUGGUCUGAGAGGAUGAUCAGCCACACUGGGACUGAGACACGGCCCAGACUCCUACGGAGGCAGCAGUGGGGAAUAUUGCACAAUGGGCGCAAGCCUGAUGCAGCCAUGCCGCGUGAGGGAAGACGGCCUUCGGGUUGUAAAGCUCUGUGAUCCGGGACGCGGUACCGGAAAAGCAAGCCACGGCUAACUACGUGCCAGCAGCCGCGGUAAUAC
rnacentral:rRNA from 1 species